GAUGAACGCUGGCGGCGUGCUUAAUACAUGCAAGUCGGGCGAGGACCGCUCGGUGGCAACACCGGGUGGCUCCUAGCGGCGAACGGGUGAGUAACACGUGGGCAACCUGCCCCCGACACUGGGAUAAGCCCGGGAAACUGGGUCUAAUACCGGAUAUGAGCCUCCUCCGCAUGGUGGAGGCUGGAAAGGGUCUCCGGUCGGGGAUGGGCCCGCCGCCUAUCAGCUUGUUGGUGGGGGGACGGCCCACCAAGGCGACGACGGGUAGCCGGCCUGAGAGGGUGAACGGCCACACUGGGACUGAGACACAGCCCAGACUCCUACGGGAGGCAGCAGUAGGGAAUCUUGCGCAAUGGGCGAAAGCCUGACGCAGCGACGCCGCGUGCGGGACGAAGGCCCUCGGGUUGUAAACCGCUUUCAGCAGGGACGAAGCGAAAGUGACGGUACCUGCAGAAGAAGGUCCGGCCAACUACGUGCCAGCCGCCGCGGUAA
rnacentral:rRNA from 1 species